UACGGAGGGUGCAAGCGUUAUCCGGAUUCACUGGGUUUAAAGGGUGCGUAGGAGGGCAGGUAAGUCAGUGGUGAAAUCUCCAAGCUUAACUUGGAAACUGCCGUUGAUACUAUCUGUCUUGAAUACCGUGGAGGUGAGCGGAAUAUGUCAUGUAGCGGUGAAAUGCUUAGAUAUGACAUAGAACACCAAUUGCGAAGGCAGCUCACUACACGAAUAUUGACUCUGAGGCACGAAAGCGUGGGGAGCAAACAGG
rnacentral:rRNA from 1 species